rnacentral:rRNA from 1 species
UACGUAGGUGGCAAGCGUUGUCCGGAUUUACUGGGCGUAAAGAGCGCGCAGGCGGUCGUUCAAGUCGCGUGUGAAAGCCCCCGGCUCAACUGGGGAGGGUCACGCGAUACUGAUCGACUCGAAGGCAGGAGAGGGUAGUGGAAUUCCCGGUGUAGUGGUGAAAUGCGUAGAUAUCGGGAGGAACACCGGUGGCGAAGGCGGUUCUCUGGGCCUGACCUGACGCUGAGGAGCGAAAGCGUGGGGAGCGAACAGG